CUACGGGUUGCACCAGUGAGGAAUAUUGCACAAUGGGGGGAACCCUAAUGCAGCAACGCCGCGUGGAGGAUGACGCAUUUCGGUUUGUAAACUCCUUUUAUAUGUCAAGAAAAUGACGGUAGCAUAUGAAUAAGCACCGGCUAACUCCGUGCCAGCAGCCGCGGUAAUACGGAGGGUGCAAGCGUUACUCGGAAUCACUGGGCGUAAAGGACGCGUAGGCGGGUUGGAAAGUCAGGUGUGAAAUCCUACAGCUUAACUGUAGAACUGCACUUGAAACUUCUAAUCUAGAGUAUGGGAGGGGGAGAUGGAAUUAGUGGUGUAGGGGUAAAAUCCGUAGAUAUCACUAGGAAUACCUAAAGCGAAGGCGAUCUCCUGGAACAUUACUGACGCUAAGGCGUGAAAGCGUGGGGAGCAAACAGGAUUAGAUACCCCCGUAGUC
rnacentral:rRNA from 1 species